AGCAGUGGGGAAUAUUGGACAAUGGGCGAAAGCCUGAUCCAGCCAUGCCGCGUGUGUGAAGAAGGCCUUCGGGUUGUAAAGCACUUUAAGCGAGGAGGAAGGGUAUCAACUUAAUACGUUGGUAUUUUGACGUUACUCGCAGAAUAAGCACCGGCUAACUCUGUGCCAGCAGCCGCGGUAAUACAGAGGGUGCAAGCGUUAAUCGGAAUUACUGGGCGUAAAGCGCGCGUAGGCGGUUGUGUAAGUUGGAUGUGAAAUCCCCGGGCUUAACCUGGGAAUGGCAUUCAAAACUGCACGGCUAGAGUAUGGGAGAGGAAAGGUAGAAUUCCAGUGUAGCGGUGAAAUGCGUAGAUAUCUGGAGGAAUACCGAUGGCGAAGCAGCCUUGGCCUAAUACUGACGCUGAG
rnacentral:rRNA from 1 species